CGCUCAGGAUGGCAGACUGAAAGAGUGUGAGCUCCUGCCGUCUGGAGUCCCAGGCUCCAGAUCAGCAGUUUUCUGUACAAGGGGUGCUUAUUCGUUUUGGCGUUUGAGUGUGGAGCAAACCCACAAGGCUCAAGCUCUGCUUGUGGAUGAAAAGCACGUGGUUAGUGGUCUGACGUAGGGCUCUGGGGAUGGAGGGCCAGACUUCGAGAUGGAGGCAAGGAAGGGAGGCUUCUCCUUCUCCUACUGGAGGCCUUGAAGAGAACUGGUCCAUCCCCUGCAGAAGUCAGGAUUGUACAUGGAAGGAAAUUUCUUCUACUAUGGGAACUUCAGAGUACAUGCAAGCACCCAUGAGCUCGGCUUGAAUGGAGGGGCGCUGACCAUUGGCUGCAAGGGUGACAAGGAGGAGCUGAGAGAAUGAAGUCCCACAGGUCUGUUCCUGCACCAAAUGCUAGGCUUUGGGCUCAUAUGUGGCUGGGGAGAAUUACAGGUGUAUUGCUGGG
rnacentral:lncRNA from 1 species